GUACAAAUUUAUUGACUCCGAUCAAUCUUAGUCAGGAUUUAAGCAAAGUAAACAGACAACUGGAUACAAAUAAGCAAUGGAUUAACAUUAGGUAGAAGUCCUAUUUACUAAGAAUUUUCAGUCCAAAAGAGCUUAUUUCCUAAAUGAAACUGAACAACCAUUUCUCUGCUAAGGCAUAUGACAACAAAAUAUGCACACUUAUAAAACCACAUUUUUUUAAAGCAGUUAAGUAUGUAUUCAAUGAAAAUUCUGAAACAGUCUUGGACGAACGUCAAGAAGAAAUAAUCACCUUUUGAAAAUUAGUAUUAACCAAGUAUACCUUUGUGGAAAAUUUGGACAGUACGAAUAAAUGACUACAGCGCACUGAAUUCAAUUCUUUUAACGGAGUGCAGUAAAAUACUUUGGUUCCCAAACGGCUGUCUCUAAAUGGAAUUUUUUUAAAAACCUGACAUUGACUCAUGGUUUUCUCCUCCGGAAUCUAAAGACGACCACUGAGGUUCCUCCCGGGUCGUGUGGCCCACAUACCGGGAAACGCUGCUGGACACACCGAAAGCGAUGCAAACACCAAACUUCUUAAAGUGCUAAAGCCACAAGAGAAAAACCUAUUUGUACAACUUAAAAAAAAAGCCAGUGUUAAGGAACUUAUUAAAGAAUAUGUGUUAGUAACAUUUAAAUCAAGAAUGCUUUUCACAAGGAUUGCAAAAAACAUCGAGACAUCAGAAAUUGAUGGACUCGUAAUAGUCCAAUAUUAAUUAGUGCAAUUUAGAAAGAAACCUGUUAGGAAUGACAUCUAGUUCUUUUUGCAGUAAGAAAAUGGUCUUAUUUCCUAAAGUUCCAGAUUAUGGUUGUGUGUACACACACACACACACACACACACACACACACACACACGCAGUUUGAGGGGACAAAGGCCGAUUGGAUCAGUCCAUUCCUGACCCUCCCUCACCCCGUCAGGUUGGCGUGAAGUUACCUCUUUUCUCCCCAAAGGGCACAUUUGAUUUUGGUCUCAGUUUCUGCUCACUCUCAGCACCAGUGGGUGCUGUGUGUGGCUUGAUUAUCACCGAUUAAGUGCUGGGGCAUAUUUUUGAAGAGAAGGCUACAGUCUGUUCCCAAACAGCAAACUAAGAACCAUAUCCAUCCGCCCACAAAUGCAAACACCACCGUCGAAUUGUGAAGCUGUAUGUUCCGAAAUGCGUAAACCGUAAAUGCACACUAUCCACGAUUUUUCAAAGGUGCGUAUUCUAUGACUCUGUAAAUAUUUUUCCUAAAAAAUGCACGUGAUUUGUUACCUCCAUUGCCUACUUUGAUAAAAAACACUUUUGUCCCUCCGUCUUCCAAACGAAGAAAAUGACUCAAUAGCAAAGUUUUCAGAUUAACAAAUAUAUUAAAACAUCUGACAUUCUCUCCACAAUUGCAUAAAAAAAGCAGGCAUCUUGAAUACUUACAAGGAAUAAAGAGCUUUCUAUAUUUUCAAAAAUUAAUUACAAUCAGAAAAAAAAAUUUCAAGAAUAUCUUUAACCAGCUAACGCGUUUCAACAAGAAAAAGACCAACUUCUCUUAUACCAAGUAUAUGCCUACCGGCUGAGAUAAACAUUCUUAAAAAAACCUGUUUACUGAAUAAAGCAAUUUAGGUGUCUUUCAUUAUUUUACAUCUUACCAUUUAAAAUAGUUACAUGAGUGGAAGCAUAUUUUUUGACCACCAAAAUAAACUCUUUCAGCCUAAUGCUUUUAAGGUACAGUAUAAAAAGUAAUAGAAAAAUCCGAACUGCAUUAUAAAUGUUUUUGGUUCAAAAUUUUAUUUGAAAUCUUAUGUUCCUUGCCUAGACAAAAAUGUGAACUAACAAGACAAAACACUGGCAAUGUUUAAAAUCUAACAGGUAUGCAGAGCCUAUAUUUAGAUCAAAAAUAUUUUUUUUACUAAUUAGCUGUUAUCAAAAAAUCUUCAAAAAUGUAGCAUAAAGGUUCAAGUCCUGGGAAACGGAAUUUACCAUGCCAAGAUCCCGUGUGUCACAGAAUUAUGAGCUGAUCCUCUAACAGCCAUAAGUAAUGGUAACUCUGGGGAAACUGCCUUCGUUUGCAGUGAAAGCUACCAGGGCGUUCAGAGGAAGAAACACCACCGGACCCGGGAAUGACUGCCACGCACAAUGACCCAUCCUGCCGCUUCACUUAAGAUCCCAUGCUUUAGUUUUGUCUUUAAAAUGCAUAGAUUUCUUCAAGAAGCCAAAGCGAUGGCAACCAUCAAUAACUGCAACUUAAUUUUAUUUUACUUCCUCCAUCAAAUAUAAGAACAAAAAGAGCAAGCAACCAGGUCCGGGGACUUUUGAUAGUUUCCAAAUGAGAGAAUAAAAGGCAACAUUUCCUAUGUACUUUCCACAAUGUCCGAAGUCAACUCGAAUUUUAUAAAAGUGCUUGUGUUUCAAUAAAAAAGUAAGACUAUCUUUCUGACCGUUGGUAGGCAAUGUGGGUAACAGGAUGGAUGAGUAGAGUUCUUUCUUGCUAGAGCACCAGGUUAGGCACUCGGCAGAUUAUUUCUUAGUCACAGUAGUUGAUUUUACUUGAUUGCAAAAAAAAAAAAAAAAAAAAAAAAAAAAGAAAUUAAGGAUCAGGCGUUGCCACUGCUGUGGCACCGGUUCCAUCCCUGGCCUGGGAACUUCCGCUUGCCACAGGCAUGGCCAAAAAAUUAAGAAAGUUGGACACUUAACCCAUUGCUACUUGACAAGGAUGUGGGGGUUUCAGCAGUAGUUCUACUUUCCUGUAGCUAACCCCCUCCACCAGUAAAUAAUUUGUAUCCCUUUUGAAUCACCCCACUGAACGGCUUUGAAUUAUAACUUAGAGCAAAGAGGAAAAAAAAAAAAAAAAGAAGCCCCAACCCUCUGGGUCAAAAUAAGUAGCAAAAACUAAUAUGGGACCCUUGAUAGUGCUUUAAGACAUAUUUACGAAAUUUUAAGCAGGGACUUCAAGCAGGAUGGUUUCAAGACGGACACUUUACCAGGAUAAACUCUAAAAACGUCGAAGAGAAAUCCCAAGACCAAGAGGCAGGAGAACUGACCCCUGUGUACAUUGUUCUUGAAAAGCGCACGGAGAGUGCUCUGCGGCCCCUCCCCGGCUUCAAGUCUCUGGAAGUAAACAGCAAUUCGGGAUUUAGAGCAGCUGGACUCACUGGGGCGGGGGGGGGCGGCUCGGGAUCCAUGAAAAUAUGCGUCCUGACCUUAUUUGUUAUGCUCAUGGUGUUAAAUGCAAAACGAGUGCCCUAUGGUACACUUGUCCCCAAUACAGCCAGCGAUUCGAUCUGUGACAGCACAAGCCAGGGGAAGGCAGAGGCGCACAGCCCUGCCUUGUGGGUCUGACUCCAGAGCUGGGACGGGGCACUUUGGGUUCCUGGGCCUGGGGCUGCAAAGCUUUGGUGACUGGCCUAGCGGGCUUCCAGAAAUCCUACUGUUCUCAUUUCCCAAGUCUUCCCUCACUAACUAUAUGAAGUAUCCCAAGAGCAAGUCUUUUUGUUAUUCUAUAAAAAUCGCAGUAUUACUAUUGCUGAUUUAAAUUUCUCACAAUUUUCAUACAAAAAAAGUUCUACAUGAUCACAAAAUACCAAAUAUUUAUCAAGUGUCAGGAUAACUUAUUAAAGUUGAGGUUAAUUCUUUUUUUUUUAUUGCUGAAGUAUUCUAGGAUCUUAAUACUGCAAACUACUCACUCCCCUUUGUUCUGAUACGUUUUGGACUUAAGAGCUAAGAUUUAUCUAGAACUUGGGUGUCUUGAUCAAAAGAAGAAAUACUUGAAUAGUGUUUCACGAAUUGCAAA
rnacentral:lncRNA from 1 species